GACGAACGCUGGCGGCAUGCCUAAUACAUGCAAGUCGAGCGAACAGAUGAAGUGCUUGCACUUCUGACGUUAGCGGCGAACGGGUGAGUAACACGUAAGGAAUCUACCUAUAAGCGGGGGAUAACAUUCGGAAACGGGUGCUAAUACCGCAUAAUAUCUUCUUCCGCAUGGAAGAAGAUUGAAAGACGGCUCUGCUGUCACUUAUAGAUGACCUUGCGGUGCAUUAGUUAGUUGGUGGGGUAACGGCCUACCAAGACGAUGAUGCAUAGCCGACCUGAGAGGGUGAUCGGCCACAUUGGGACUGAGACACGGCCCAAACUCCUACGGGAGGCAGCAGUAGGGAAUCUUCCGCAAUGGGCGAAAGCCUGACGGAGCAAUGCCGCGUGAGUGAAGAAGGCCUUCGGGUCGUAAAACUCUGUUAUAAGAGAAGAACAAAUUGUAGAGUAGCUGCUACAGUCUUGACGGUAUCUUAUCAGAAAGCCACGGCUAACUACGUG
rnacentral:rRNA from 1 species